GGAACAUUUCUGCUAAGGCAGAAGAACUAUCGCGACUGCAGUGCAAAAUGAUUAAUAUGGUGAAUAUUACUUCAAGGAAAUAAUAAAGUAAUAAUCAUAAAUGUUCUUCCUUGAGCUGCAUCACCCUGCAGCAGUUCGUAAUGGACUGGCCUGAGGUCUCACUACAAACAAGCGGCUGCUGGAAGAGAGUAGGUGAGUUGUGUUUAGUCUCUUUGCUAAAGAAAUUAGGCAAAGUUAAAAAGAUGUUCGGUGGCUAAUGCUGUGGUUAGUACCCUUUAUGUACUGUUGAUGAAGUUAGGUGCUGUUCUGUAUUUGUGGCUGUAGAGUGGCGUUUUGCUUGAGGUUUGUUUAUGGCUCCUCAGACCGCUGUGUAUUGCUAUCGUGCGGUCGUUACUAAAGUUGGUUUAACUAGAGAAGCAAGUAGUCGGCAACAUUCAUCUCUCGACAGGGUGUCUAACUCGGUGUUAUGGUGUGUUUAACCCUAAAUUAAUUUUACGCCGGAAUAUCCCUUUAAACACCUGCUUAUACUUCUACAUAUAAAUCUAAGUAUGAGAUUAACAUUAUCAUCUGUCCAAUCCUCCUAUAACAUUAACAUGUUAUUUGCAUUUCUUGUUUUUGCAUUAUGCCCUCUAAUCAACCCAUCUGAAUUGGAUGGGACAUGAAACUAAGCUCAGAAAUGCAACAGGCCCCCGGGGCGCAGCACACUGAAUGCAGAGCUUUACUUCUCAUUAUAUUCCUAAUGAAGAAGCUUUUGGAUGCAGCUGGCCCGGGGAGGCCUGUGUGAUAAAAGAAAGUAAGAGAGGAAAAUCAAGAAGCAGAUGGGAGACAGAACAGAGCAAGAUUAGUGAGCUGGGAUUUGCAGUCACAAGACAAAAGUAGCACAAAGAUAAAGGAUGAUGUGGAUCUUUCAAUGUCAUUCUCAUCCGUGAUACACCAAAACAUCAGUACCUCAGGUUCACACUAAACUCCAAUAUACAGCACAUGUUCUUACUUACACUUAAGCUGAUUGCUCUAGUGAGUGAAACUGAAUGAAAAGCACAGAAACACCUUCUUUCAUUGCAUUGCAGUGUCUGUGAAUUUCUCCAGUGUUUUUAGAAGUGAGUGAAAGGACGGAUAAAAAUAGUUCCUGUCUAGCCAGUAAUGAUAAAACCAUACCUGCUGAUCCGGAAGCCAACCCUUAUCCCCUUUGAAGACAAAAAGAGCUUCUCUCCUAUUCAGUCAUGCACAAAACACACGACUGAAGCCUACAGGGAGCCGCUCUUUACAUUGUUCUGAACCCGUAGUUUUGAUCUCUGAGGCCUGUAAGGUGUGCCAGUCGAACAACUACACUUUCAGUCUAUCAAAAUGCAACGCUGCAAGACUUGUAAUCCAAGUUUGCAGGGACAAUCCUGUAAUGAGGAUGCAACUCCAGUUCAGAGGCUUUGCAUGUGCACUAGCUGCGUGUGUGUCCUUGUGAGAGGUAAAUGCUGAGGGGAAAAGCAGUGUUUAAUUAAUUGCAGAACAAGUUUAACCCUCAAGCAAACAAUUACGCCUUCCCCUGUUUAAGCAGGAUCCUUGGAAAAACUGCCGCUGGUGAAAAAACAAGCUCAUAGCUGCAGGCUCUCUCUGAUAUAACUAAGUUUAAUCGUCAGCAUCACAAUCAUUACACAGGCUGCACAAAGGCUGCAAAUUCAGCCGCCUGCCAGAGCUGAUACAAACCCUUGAAUAAUUCAUGUUUAACACCAAAGUUAGGCACCUGAGAUUUCAGAUUUUGCAGUUUUUGUGUCAAAAAUGUGACUAAACUGACUAAUUAUGCAUCAUUUGGGUCAGAAAAACUAACAAUUAGAAGUUGAAAGAAGUAGCUUCCUGAAUAAAAGAGGAUAUUUCUGGCUUGUCUCUGCAGGAACACAUGGGUUAAGUGCUGAAGAUGAAUAUCCUUCCUCUUCUAAUGGCUUGUCCUAGAUUCCCCCCACCUGCAGUGCCCUUAUUUUUCACUGUAGUCUCUAAUCCACUAUCGCUCUUCCACUUAACGCAAAACAAAGCCUCCAACAGUGUUACUCCAGGCGGCCCAUGGGAGCCGCAUUGUUGAGACACAACUUCAUCACAUUGCGAGUAACACACUUUUUACGGCGUCUAUUCCAGGCUGAGGAUUAUGCCGAACAGAUAACAGACACUCACCUCUCGCCUUUAAAAACUCUGGUAGUCUAGAGUGCAAUCCAUCCCUUAAUGUAAAUUUGCUUUUGCAUUAUUCAUGAUGGAUGUACGUUUUUCAGUGGGGAUAAUUUGCGUCUUAUCGAGCUGCUUAUAUGAUAUGAAGAGCUUCACAAGGAAACUGGAGAGCCGACAUGGCUGAGGGGAUCAAACACAAUGUUUCUGCCAGAUAAGGUGAAGUCUUUGUAUGUGUUAGAAGUGAUUGUCAGAUAGUUCCUACCCGCUGUGUGACUGUGUCCUAUUGCAUAAAGUGGACUUUUGAUCAUAAAGUGCCCUCCUAUCACUGCAGCUUGAGUAAAUAUCACACAAGGGGAGAGAUACAUCUCAAAAUACAGAAUGUUUUUUUCAUUGGAUACAUCACAGUGUUUGCUGAGCUGUAGUCGAAUCAUAGAGCCUGGAGUUUGAGUCCCAGUCUGAGCCACCAUUAGUAGUUAAUGUAUGUAGUUAUUAUGACAAAUUAUGGCUUUUUCAUUGUAUCUGGAUUUUGUGAAGCUUUGGAUUUAUUCCUCAUAACAUCUAAUUUUAAAAUUAACAAUAUUUGUACUACGAUGUUUUUCUCCUAAUUCUAGGGAAAUCCUACAUGUCGAAAAAUAUGGUUUAUUAUCCAAAACAAUGAAGGACAACAAAAAAAAGAAGAAUAUAAACUUGUUUUGUUUAAUUGCCUCUGUCUAAAAAAGGCUGGACUGUGCAGGAGCCCAAAAUGAACUUCAGGUUUAAAGUAAGCAACUGAAAGGAGUUUUUUAAGGUUAUGAAACAAGCUGAAAUGAGCAGUGAUAUGUUAAACAUAUGAUAAAAAAGCAAGUGAGAUUAUUUUCAACAAGAGUGGCAUUUUCUAAAGUGUUAUUUUUAACGCCUGUGACUGCUGCAAUACACAGCAUUGGUGACUAUUUCCACAGCAAAUACUCAAAGGGAUUAUUAGAUUUCACAGUAGAAAGACUAAGGGAGAAGAAGUUUGUCAAACAGCAUCACUUACAAGGCAACAAAAUUAACACACGCACGGACAAAGUAGGUUUACAUGCUGGACUGGACUUUUAGAAUGCAUGUCAACACAUUAGUCCAAAAUAGGGCUAAGUCAGACCUCUCAUAGACAGACUAACAUAACUGGUCAAUGUGGUUGGGGGUUGAUUAAAAAAAACGCAACUAAAAAGAGUAACUAGAGCAGGCGCUGUGCCACCAUUGCUCAAGAAUUUAAUGCAAGUACACACACGCAGGCAUAUGCACAAAAAUACACACAACUGCUCUGUAUACACACCAAUUGGGCAGCAACAAACAGCCACAGGGGGGACAGAUCAAGCAGAAUAAAACAACCCAAACCUCGACGUUGAGCAGUGGGAGGGUUACGCAGGUGAUUAUAAAACACAGUCAGCUUAAGUGCAGGAUUUGCUGAACAUAACACAGAUCAAUAAAGACAUGCUGUGUUGCUAGAUUGUUACCUCUGGGGAUUCCCUUUGUUGGCGCAAUCAACUGUCAUGGUCUUUACAGCUCCAUCGCUGUCAAACUAAACAUAUAAAAAACAAUCUUUAAUUGCACGUGAACACGUAAAUUGAUAUUGUUUUACUCAAAUGUGCAUGGAAUUAUAUUUUUACAUUCAUGGGGAACACUCUAGUUUGCUUCAUCACACAGCAGAAGGAAAGGCUGUCAGCUUGGAUUCAAAGCAGGGUCGGUUUAUUUUAACUCCACAGCCGACUCAUUGUUGAGUCACCUUUACAUUGCUGUCUCAAUUUAUAGCCUGUCAUAAAAUCAUGACCGACGCACUAAAAAUUUAUAAUACAGAAAUUCAGGGCAAUGAAGCUGCUACAAUGAAAACAAUGCAAAUUAGAGAAACACUAGCUCUAGGUGCUUUACUCUCCUAUCCAGGCUGAUUCAUUCUUUAUUGAUGUGCGCAGAACAAAUACCCUAAAGCCACAUAUUUGGAUAAGACGGAGAAAUCUGUGUUGCAUUUGAGGAGUUGCUCAGUCGUGCUUAACAAGCAGAUCAUUUUGAGAGACUUUUCCUCUGAAGACAGCCAUCUGAGAAUUAAGUGAGGUCCUUAACUCCUUUCUGCUGUCCUGAUUUCUCAUUUUGUCUCACGGCAGUAUUGAUCUGAGAAUCCUGUUCUGGGGUUCAGGGAAGGAUUCAACAGAAGAUUACCGAUGGAAGGCUGCUUGGGAACCACCUCUCUGCUGCAAAUAACACUGUUAAAACACUCAGAGGGGGUCAGUGUUAAAGACUGCAGCAGUGGGAGGAUGAACUGCCAGUUUGAUGAAUGUUGCAACUAGGACUAUAGAGUCUGUGGUCAUGUUACCCUUGGAAUAGAGCAAGUGAGGUGUGAAUGGUUAACAGGGUCAAACACACCUUUACCUCCCUGCUCUAAUAAUAUCCAUCUGUGUUUUACUGGAAAUAACUCUAUCACCAUGUGGUUUUUUGGACUGGUUAAAAAGAUUUUUUAAAAAUCACUAUAUCUCGAAGCCAAAACAUUUAGAGUGUUAGUCAUUCAUCCUGCUUCCUCACUGUUGACAGAUGAUUCAUGAGUCAAACUAUAAACAUUUUAAUUCACGUCAAAAAAUAUAGAUUCUGUUGUCAUAUUUUAGUCAUGCUACAAUGAUUUAUGUUUCAGUAUUUAUUUAUUUUAUUCAUUUGACACUAUAAAGAACAGUAGAAUAUCAGGAUUGACAGCUCAGUUUACUAAGUCUAAAGAAGAACAGCUAUAGACAACAACUACAGCAAAAUUCUGUGUAGCCUAUAAGGUCCACUUUUACCAUACUUUCUAUCAUCUCAAAGUUGAGUUUUAUCCCUGUGGAACUGGGUGGAACUGUGGUGUACUGACAAUCAAAUGAACUUUGUGGAGCGCUGAUUUGAUUGAAAGACUCCUCAAGUAAACACAACAGGUGACAAAGUAGGGGGGCAACUCUCUUCACAUUGGUCCCCAGCAGUGGGUUCAUCCAAACCUCUCUACUCUGAAAGUGACCACAGGCUUAGCACAGGCUAACUUCAGCACUAGUCGUGAGCAGGAUGCUGGAAACAGGCAGUACGAGGUAGAGCUACACAGAAGCAGCACAUUAGCUGUGUUUACAUGGCCACAAAUAAUCGGAAUAAAUGCGCGAUCGGAAUAUAAAUGCGUCAUGUACACAUGUCGAUCGAGAGAUUAUGAUCCAAUUCGGCUCAAUCGGAAACAUAUUGUAUUCGAUCGAAUGGGUUGGUUUAUGCCGAUCGUUAAUCCGAAACGUAUCCAUGUAAACACGUAUUCCGAUCGUGACUCUCUUACCUGAAUCGAUCUUCACGCUUUAGCCUUUGGUUUACUUAUUGAGGCCGGUACAGGGGGUUUCAUUGGGAUGAAACACAACCGCAUGUACCGUGUCUGUUCUUCCGGUAACAUAACAAGAGGUACGUACAGCGUAAUGAUGUCACAUGUGCACGCACGGUGGAACCUUUGACAAAACAGUAAAAUAAGUACGCAAUGGCGCCAUCUAGUGACAACAUUUAACAGGGGGAAAACUGCUGAAUUGGAGGGAGUGAGCUACUACGGCAAUUGUUGGUUUGUUGACAGCACAGACGUAAAUAGGCCUACAACUCUUCUUCUGCGGUUGUUUUAGCGAAAUCAGACAAGUCUGCGCAUGUCCAAAUACUUAAAGUCUAGUGCAUGUAUAUGCACGUCAUGAUCGGAUUAUUUGAUUUGCACCCAUAUAAACAGUGGAUUCAGAUCAUCCGAUCCCUCAAAUUUUUAAUCGGAUCAAGAAAUUUGGCCCAUGUCAACGUAGCUACUGUUGAACAGCACAUCAUCACCAGUUCAUUAUGUCAGCACCUGUCAUAGGAGUGUCUUAGUUUUACUUUUGGAAAAUGUCAUGAUUGAGGAUGUGUCAUCUGUCUUUAUAUACUUUCAGCUGUCAAUUAAAAUGGUUAUAUGAAAUAUUAAGAUUCAAGGGUAAUUGCCUCCUUCGCUUUUUACCAACACAACAAGGACUCUAUAGUAAAUAUUUAUUAGAAGCAGAAUAACAGACUAUUUAAAUUCUUCCAUCUCCAAACAUUUAUGUGUGUUCAGUAAAAUAAAAUCUGAGGGGAGAAACAUAACACAUUAACACAGUGUAUGUGCCAGCAGCCCUGCCAUGACCACGCUUUCUCUUCGCCAUAUGUGGUGAAAUUACGUUCUGAGCAUGACAUAUGCGUUCAGGAGGCUUAGAGCCACAGACUGUUGUCCUGUCCUCUCCGUGGGAGCACAUGGUGCGCUGCUGUGACAGUCAGCGUUGAACAUGUCUUUGGGGAUGCUCCAUUAUUUACACUCUGCCUUCCUGUGGCCCAGAUGAGACAUGACAGGAGCCACAGGAAGCUCAUGAAUUAAACAGAGGGGGCCUAAAAGCACAUGGGGAAGGUGGAGGGUGGAGGGUGAUGGAGAGGCCUGGGGGAGACAGCAGAGCACCAGGGCUGGCAGCAGAUUGCGACGCACAUGUUGCCAUGACCUGAGGGGGUUGGAGAGAGGUGAGGAAGGGACACAAAGAUGCAGAGAUAGAAGCAAAAAAGAUUAUUUUAAUUAUCUUUUAAUGAGGUAAUGAUGAGAAAUGAAGAACAUUCUAGAUAAAUUUAGUGUGAGGCUUUAAUUUGCACUGCUGUGUGAUAAAUAUAUCAGCAGCAGGGUGAUGUCAUGCAUUCAGAGGACCUUUUAUGAUGUCUCAGCUGUUGCACAAAUAGGUUGGGCAGCCAUGAGUAGCUUCUGGUGUCAGCCUGUGUGUCCGGAUGGAUGGAUGGGAUAACCUCAUUUGGGCUGUGACUCAUCAUCUGAUGCAGCAAACCAAUGCACAGUAGCUGCUGGCAAUAAAAAAACAAGCUUCCUCUUUUAGUGAAGUGGUAAAAUUUGACUAAUGGGUAUUGAGGUCGCGGGCGCUGGUGAAGAGGAAUAUGCAGAGAGUAUUUAUCCUUGUGUGUUUAUAAUCAUACUAAAUGUUAUGAGGAUUAACCCAUGUGUGGAUUAGAGUGGAAUUGUUUGCUUAUCUGUGUUUUUAUGGCUUUCUCUCCCACACACAUGCGCUCACACAGGCUCAAGUCCACGUGUGUUUUAUGAGUCUGAUAUUUGUAAGUAACUUUUUACAGGAAGUGCCUCUAAUGACAAACCCAUUUUAUUGGCCCCCAGGGAACUGCUGUCCAUCUCUCGUGGCAACCCCAGACGGGAAAAGGAACCGCCCAGACCGUCGGUGCCAGAGUGAUAUCAUCUGAUCAUCAACCUCCAACACGGGCGCUGAGCCACGUGGUGCAUUUUCAUAUAGUGGAAGGUCUUCAUCCUUCACUCUCCCUCUUUUAUACUCUUGGCCUUUUAUCUCCAAAUAUUAAUCCUGCAGAACAAGUGAAAUUGGCUUGUCAUAUAAAAUGGGAAGUUGGGAGUGUUAUAUAUCUGAAUGGGUGCCAAGUGAAUUAGGCUUAUUAACUUGAAUCUGUAAAAUCUUUUUUUAAACCUCAGGCUGUAUGUAGCUUUCUCUUAUUGAUGCAGUCCAUUAGUUGUAACAGUAGUCUGUCUUUGGAGUAUCAGUUGUCAUUCAGCUUGUGCCUGAGUGCACUUAAUUCCCUGCAGAGCCCAUCUGGACAGGUUUGCUUCAAAAAACAAGACAAGCAACAACAAUAUAGAAUGUAGAUGAUUGGUGGACAUUUAUAGUCAUUUUAAUGGUUUUCAGUAAAUGUUUGUUUAUUUUCGUGUCUAUCUACAGGUAAAGAAAUGCAAAUAAAUACAUUUAUACUUACCACUGUAGAUAGUGAGUGAGUGAAGUAGU
rnacentral:lncRNA from 1 species